rnacentral:rRNA from 1 species
CCUACGGGAGGCAGCAGUAAGGAAUAUUGGUCAAUGGACGAAAGUCUGAACCAGCCAUGCCGCGUGAAGGAUGAAGGCCCUCUGGGUUGUAAACUUCUUUUAUCUGGGACGAAAAAAGCUCAUUCUUGAGCACUUGACGGUACCAGAGGAAUAAGCACCGGCUAACUCCGUGCCAGCAGCCGCGGUAAUACGGAGGGUGCAAGCGUUAUCCGGAUUUACUGGGUUUAAAGGGUGCGUAGGUGGGCAGUUAAGUCAGUGGUGAAAUCUCCGAGCUUAACUCGGAAACUGCCAUUGAUACUAUCUGUCUUGAAUAUCCUGGAGGUGAGCGGAAUAUGUCAUGUAGCGGUGAAAUGCUUAGAUAUGACAUAGAACACCAAUUGCGAAGGCAGCUCACUACGGGAUUAUUGACACUGAGGCACGAAAGCGUGGGGAUCAAACAGGAUUAGAUACCCUGGUAGUCCACGCCCUAAACGAUGGAUACUCGACAUCAGCGAUACACUGUUGUGUGUGAGNGAAGAGAUAAGUAUCCUACCGUCGGUUAGUUAGUAGUUGNGAGAGUUAGAGUACAANAGAGUUAGACGGCGUUGAGACGUUGCCGACGGACGACCGACGAAGGGGAAGGUUAGGUAG